rnacentral:rRNA from 1 species
GAUGAACGCUAGCUACAGGCUUAACACAUGCAAGUCGAGGGGCAGCAUUUUAGUUUGCUUGCAAACUGAAGAUGGCGACCGGCGCACGGGUGAGUAACACGUAUCCAACCUGCCGAUAACUCCGGGAUAGCCUUUCGAAAGAAAGAUUAAUACCGGAUAGUAUACGAAUAUCGCAUGAUAUUUUUAUUAAAGAAUUUCGGUUAUCGAUGGGGAUGCGUUCCAUUAGUUUGUUGGCGGGGUAACGGCCCACCAAGACUACGAUGGAUAGGGGUUCUGAGAGGAAGGUCCCCCACAUUGGAACUGAGACACGGUCCAAACUCCUACGGGAGGCAGCAGUGAGGAAUAUUGGUCAAUGGGCGCGAGCCUGAACCAGCCAAGUAGCGUGAAGGAUGAAGGCUCUAUGGGUCGUAAACUUCUUUUAUAUGGGAAUAAAGUUUUCCACGUGUGGAAUUUUGUAUGUACCAUAUGAAUAAGGAUCGGCUAACUCCGUGCCAGCAGCCGCGGUAAUACGGAGGAUCCGAGCGUUAUCCGGAUUUAUUGGGUUUAAAGGGAGCGUAGGUGGAUUGUUAAGUCAGUUGUGAAAGUUUGCGGCUCAACCGUAAAAUUGCAGUUGAAACUGGCAGUCUUGAGUACAGUAGAGGUGGGCGGAAUUCGUGGUGUAGCGGUGAAAUGCUUAGAUAUCACGAAGAACUCCGAUUGCGAAGGCAGCUCACUAGACCGUCACUGACACUGAUGCUCGAAAGUGUGGGUAUCAAACAGGAUUAGAUACCCUGGUAGUCCACACAGUAAACGAUGAAUACUCGCUGUUUGCGAUAUACAGUAAGCGGCCAAGCGAAAGCAUUAAGUAUUCCACCUGGGGAGUACGCCGGCAACGGUGAAACUCAAAGGAAUUGACGGGGGCCCGCACAAGCGGAGGAACAUGUGGUUUAAUUCGAUGAUACGCGAGGAACCUUACCCGGGCUUAAAUUGCAACAGAAUAUAUUGGAAACAGUAUAGCCGUAAGGCUGUUGUGAAGGUGCUGCAUGGUUGUCGUCAGCUCGUGCCGUGAGGUGUCGGCUUAAGUGCCAUAACGAGCGCAACCCUUAUCUUUAGUUACUAACAGGUUAUGCUGAGGACUCUAGAGAGACUGCCGUCGUAAGAUGUGAGGAAGGUGGGGAUGACGUCAAAUCAGCACGGCCCUUACGUCCGGGGCUACACACGUGUUACAAUGGGGGGUACAGAAGGCGGCUACCUGGUGACAGGAUGCUAAUCCCAAAAACCUCUCUCAGUUCGGAUCGAAGUCUGCAACCCGACUUCGUGAAGCUGGAUUCGCUAGUAAUCGCGCAUCAGCCAUGGCGCGGUGAAUACGUUCCCGGGCCU